GCAGACACAUUCCAGCCAAUCAGCAGCAGACCCUCCCUCCCAGACCCUCCCACCUCCUGGACAGCUCACUAAGAAUGCAGCUUCAAAAUUAAUGUAAAAUGGAUGCUGUCCAGGAGGUGGGAGGGUCUGGGAGGGAGGGUCUGCUGCUGAUUGGCUGGAAUGUGUCUG
rnacentral:miRNA from 1 species